UACGCAGGUGGCGAGCGUUGCCCGGAAUCACUGGGCGUAAAGGGUGCGUAGGCGGCUGGACAAGUCAUAGGUUAAAGCCCGGAGCUCAACUCCGGAAAGGCCUAUGAUACUGUCUGGCUUGAGGGCCGGAGAGGAUGGCGGAAUUCCUGGUGUAGCGGUGAAAUGCGUAGAUAUCGGGAGGAACACCAGUAGCGAAGGCGGCCAUCUGGCUGGUAACUGACGCUGAGGUGCGAGAGCGUGGGGAGCAAACAGG
rnacentral:rRNA from 1 species